rnacentral:tRNA from 1 species
GCCGGCAUAGCUCAGUAGGUAGAGCAGCGCACUUGUAAUGCGAAGGUCGCGAGUUCGAUUCUUGCUGCCGGCACCA